rnacentral:lncRNA from 1 species
UGCUUACAUAACUUUUAUUUAGAGUCAACACAGGAAGUCUCACCAAGGCUGGCAGCAGGGUGUGGAGCAAGACUGUGACCUCCUAAAGAGUUGCUGAUUCUGAAGCAACACAAAGAGCAUAUGUUACUGCCAGUACUCAAAGCUAUACUUCCAGGAUGGAAAGCCAAAGCACCCCUGGCCAUCAAGGUAAGACUGGAAGCUGGCAGCCCGGGACUCCCAUCAAUCUU